AACCCGUAGAAGAAAUAAAGGAAGGCAUUUUGGUUCCCCAUCGGACGGAUCGGAGUUGGCGAGCGGCGGAGGAAACCCUAGCCUACAUCAGAGAAGAAGACCAGGCGGCUACCGAUGGCGGCGCUUCGAGUCGCGGCGAGGAGGCUCGUCGGCGGUGGCCAGACGCCGGCGGUGGCUGUGGACAAGGCGCAGCGCCGGCUCUUCCCGAGGCUCUCCCAGGUCGGCCGGGCUAGGUCCACCACAUCCUCCGCUGCUGCUGCUGCUGCCGCAGACACCAAUGUGGCGGCGACCACGGGCUGUGAAGAUCGGUAGAAACUCCUGAGAGAGAUCCAUAACAUGAGAGAGGAGCUGUAUGACAAGGUUUCGCACGCGGAAAGGACCUACAGUAUCCCUGGCAGGGCAGGCAAACAUAUCAGUCGGCUGCAUGAGGAGCUCGCCGUGCAAGUGGAUCCUAGACCCGGGGACAGCACAUGGCGCCAGAUGCGAGUGCUAAAUCCACUUGUACGUUGCGUGCGAUUUGCGGCUUUGACCUUCAGCUGGUAUGUGCUCAUGUGCAUGGCCGCUGGUAAGAUCGUUGAAUUGGAUCCAGAUGAAAAGCAAUGGAUCCAGAAGAAAAGAGGGGAGGCGCGCAAGCAAAGUGAAACAAAAUGAUUGAGGGCCAUGUUUAUGAACGGCACAGGUCCAAUAAAUGGUUGUUACUGUGUUCUUACAUGGACGAUCAUCGAUCGCUUUGUAGGGCCGAUCUAGCUGGUUGGUACCAAGUUGUCUAGAUGUUAUGAUAUAUCUAUUUUAGUGUCUCCCGUUUCUAUGUUUGUUGAAGAUAUUGAAAUAAGGAGUUCACAGCUCCUGCUGAUGUUGCUGCUUAAAGGCUGACAUGUAAAAAAAGUUAAGCUGUAGUAGAAGCAUCUUCUGGGGA